CGACAGUAAAGAAUUAACAUAAAGAUUUACGUGGUUUCUCAAUUUGGAUACGUCCACGGGAGCGGCGAGAGAAAUUGUUUUUAUUUAUGAUCUUAGUACAUAGGGUUUUUACAAUAGAGAUUACAUAUAACUGCUACUUCUAUUCCAACUCUAAUUCACCUUAUAACUUAAAUACCCAUAAUGCCCUUGUAACACCAUAUCAUAGGGCUACGCCCCCCAAAAUCUUCGGUCCAAACCUGAUGGGUGCGUCGUGAAACUCUGCUCCGCACUUGGCCUAUUUCGAGAACUUCUCAGUUACGAACCACAAGUUCCGACAUAAACAAAAUACUUCAAGAGCUUCCUCUAAAUGCUAGCUUCAGAAGUACAAUAAAAAGCCCUGUGAUUGCUUUAGAUUAGAAUGAAAGUCAAGGUAACUCCAGUGUAGAGAGAGAGAGAGAGAGAGAGAGAGAUCUUACAUUUACAUCAAUCAUUCAAUAUUUUUAUUGCUUUGAACUCCACUUCCCACGUUACCCAACUCUGAAAGAUCCCUCCCAACUGAAAGAGAAGCAAGAUUUCUUCUCUAUCAUUUCACCUGCCAAAAAGAAAGAAAACCAAAACAUAAUCUAACAUUGUCUCCAACUGGGCAAAUAGUUUCUCAAAUUAGCUAGGAACCAAAAAGAGUUCAUAAGUACUUUGGGUUUGAUUUGCAUGUACUUUGAACUAACAUUACAACAUGGCAACAAAGUUGGACUUUGCACAGAAGCUGCUAAACGAUCUCCGGCUGAAAAAAGAACGAAUGGCUGCAUCUCAAAGCUCAAGCAAUUCAAAUAUGAUGGCAAGAGGUUAAGUGUCUUACAUAUACAUGCAUCCAGAUAAUACGUAAUUAGUAAAUGACAAGAAACUGAAAUUUUAAAUGUUCAGACAAAAAUCUAUCAACUUAAUUUCAAACCUUGAAUAUUAAUGUUUAAUCCAACUGAAUAUUAAUCGAGUUCUUUUUUAGUCUGUUUUAAUGUUUAAUGUAGCAAUAUGAAUUUAAUGUUUUCCUAGAAAAAAUUGUGCCAUGAAACUAGCUAGGGAAAUUGUCAUUUUAGUGAUCUUGCAUAUGAAUUCUUAGGUUCAAAAUAUAUCCUCAAUCUUUGCAGGAGUAUACAUACUUUUUAUCUACCUUAAUAGUCUAUCCAAUUUCCCCAUUUUUGCUUUCCAAAAAGAAAUUGAAAAACAAGCCAUUCCACCUAUAGAGCAAAGUAGUUUACCCAUAUAGGCGCAUAAAGAUUAUUUUUACUCCUGAUUCUAUUAAAACUACUUUAAUUUAGAGUUUUAGGCAUCACUGGCUAGUAUAUAAUAUAUAUAUAUAUAUAUGUGUGUGUGUGUGUGUGUGUGUGUGUGUGUGUGUGUGUGUGUGUGUGUGUGUAUGUGAAUGAUGCAUAACAAGUACUUGUUGUGAAUCAUAAUAGAUCAAACACUAUUAUUAGCAUCCAUUAUUGGAAUAAACUGCCCGGAUUACAACUGCAAAAACGUCGUUCGCUAAUAAUAACGGACGAAAUUAAUUACAAAUUUACAACCAUCCGCUAUUAAAUAGUAGUGGAUGUACCUGUCGUCCGCUACUAUUAGUGCCGGAUGUCAUAAUUCCAGUUUUAAUCUCGACAGUUUAUUCUUGUAUUGGACGAUAAAGAUGGUGUUCGUCCAUUUUUGAUCCGUAGCACGUACUUGCUAUUCAUAUGUAUAUAUUCGCCCCUUAUUGAAGUGAAACUAGAUGGUUUAAAGUUCAGAAUUCAUGAUCUGAUAAACUUAUCCAAAACAAUAAUUAAAUCAUUUUUCUGAAUGCUACUAUAGCCACGCUAGCCAUUAAAACAUUCAAAUUCUGACGGAGUAUAUGACCGAUGUGUGUUUUCUCACCCUGAAUUUGUUUUUGCACAAUUAUAUAUUAUAUGCUUUCUUUUUGUCAUGUUUCUGGUGAACAGAUGGACAAAGAAAUUCUAGACAGGCCUACAAAGGAUCUCAAAAAACUAAAGCAGCAGAACCUGUACGUUCAAUCUUCAAAAUACCUGAAUUACUGUGUAAUAUGCUUUAGACAGUCGAAUAAAUUGUGAGAACUUGAUUUGUUCCUUGUAGGUCAGGCCCAACACAGCAAACUUGCAGAGGAGGGCUAGUGGAAGCACUAAAGAAAAUUCAAGACAGCUGGUUACUUAUGGAAGCUGUCAAAGCUCAGAACAAAGAGGCAGUCUGCCCAUGGCCUUCAUGCUUGCCCUUCACAACGGGGGGAAAGAUGGUAAAAACGACUCUUCAGGCAAUAGUUCAAUGUUGCAUUUCCUGCAGCAAAUUGGACGGAGAUCACUUGAUACUGGGAAUAUGGACAGAAGCAGCAGCUUCAACAAACACCGUACUUCAACUAGCCAGUUCCCAACCUUUUCUCAUUUUCAUAUUAAUGAAAUUUCAAAAGGGGUACAAAAUUUAAACCAGAUUCUAAGAGCCUGCUCAAAUGGCCUUAACUUUGAUAAAUAUUCGAUAGAAGUUGGGAAGGAACUGUUGAAAGGGGCUGUGGAUUUGGAAGAGUCCUUGAAAAUGCUUGUGAAUUUGCAAGAAGCUUCAGAAUACAUGAUCAAGCCUCAGAGGAAAAACCGGAUCACUUUACUGGAGGAGGACGAGGCUGAUGAUGCCAACAAUGUGACGAUGGCUGAACACAAACAACUUGACCUGCCAAGAUUCUCCUUUGAUAAGCGCUCAAGGAAUUCUCAUGGCAAUAAAGAGGUUACAAAGACUGAUCUAAAGCAGAGAUUGAUGGCACUGACAUAUCAUGACAAGACUCCUAGCUUCCACAGCCAACAAACUCUGACUGAUUCAAAUUCAGAAACUCAUUGGCAGCCUGCUAGUUGGGGUCCUGAACCAAAGAGUCACUCAAAUUCAUCACAAGCUAGACCAGAAAAGGGGAGAAUGUCAAGUGUUAUUGCAAAACUUAUGGGGCUGGAAGUUCUUCCAGAAAGAGUAGAUCCACAAAUCAGACAAAAAGAAGCAGGCCAGAAACAAAGAGAAGGAAUAGUCUUUAAGACCACGUAUACAACAACCAAGAAUGCUGAAGCAAAGACUCGACAGACUGAGAGGCUUGCACCUCUAAGUAACAAUAAUAAUGCUUUGAAACAAGACCACAAGGAACUACAAAC
rnacentral:lncRNA from 1 species